rnacentral:rRNA from 1 species
AUGGCGGUCCUCAAGGCCAAGAUGCCAGCCUUGUGCUUGCUCUUGCUCAUGGCACUCCUGUUGUUUCCUGGAUCUGAAGGCAAGACUUGCUCGGAGGUCAGCAGGACCUACACUCCUCUCUUAUGUGGGGAUGACACAUGUGCUACUCACUGCCACAAGGAGGGCUUCCCAGGAUCGAAGUGUGUGAUCACCUCCUUCGACCCUCCCUUUUCAAUCUGCCUCUGCAAGAAACCUUGCUGA